CAAGAAAAGCCCAUAUAACAGCGACCGUACUAAAACUGACACAGGUAGGUGAGGCGCGUAGCCUCAGGCGCUCGGGAAAACGCUGGUUAAGGAACUCUGCAAAUUGGCCCCGUAACUUCGGGAUAAGGGGUGCCAUCGCAAGAUGGUCUCAGCAAAGCGGCACUAGCGACUGUUUACUAAAAACACAGGUCUCUGCGAACUCGUAAGAGGAUGUAUAGAGACUGACGCCUGCCCGGUACCGGUAAGUUAAUAAAGAGGGUUAGCUUUCGGGCGAAGCCAGCAAUUGAAGCUCCGGUAAACGGCGGCCGUAACUAUGACGGUCCUAAGGUAGCGAAAUUCCUUGUCGGGUAAGUUCCGACCUGCAUGAAUGGCGUAACGACUGGUGCACUGUCUCAACCAGCGACCCGGUGAAAUUGUAGUCGUGGUGAAGAUGCACGUACCCGCAGCAAGACGGAAAGACCCCAUGAACCUUACUGCAGGCUGAUACUGUCACUUGGCAUGUUUUGUGUAGGAUAGGU
rnacentral:rRNA from 1 species